AUCAACUUUCGAUGGUAGGAUAGAGGCCUACCAUGGUGGUAACGGGUAACGGGGUGUUAGGGCACGACACCGGAGAGGGAGCUGAGAAACGGCUACCACAUCCAAGGAUGGCAGCAGGCGCGCAAAUUACCCAAUCCCGACACGGGGAGGUAGUGACAAUAAAUAACAAUACGGGGUCCUUUCGGGUUUCGUAAUUGGAAUGAGUACAAUUUAAAUCUCUUAACGAGGAGCAAUUGGAGGGCAAGUCUGGUGCCAGCAGCCGCGGUAAUUCCAGCUCCAAUAGCGUAUAUUAAAGUUGUUGCAGUUAAAAAGCUCGUAGUUGAAUUUCGGGAUCAGUACGCUGGUCGUGCCUUCGGUAUGAACUGGUGUCACUGGUUCCUCCCUUCUGAAGAACCGUCAUGCCAUUCAGUUGGUGUGGCGGGGAAUCAGGACUGUUACUUUGAAAAAAUUAGAGUGUUUAAAGCAGGCUCGCGCUUGAAUACAUAGCAUGGAAUAAUGAAAUAGGACGUUUGACCCUAUUUUGUUGGUUUCUAGGAUCGACGUAAUGAUUAAUAGGGAUAGUUGGGGGCAUUAGUAUUCAAUUGUCAGAGGUGAAAUUCUUGGAUUUAUUGAAGACUAACUACUGCGAAAGCAUUUGCCAAGGAUGUUUUCAUUAAUCAAGAACGAAAGUUAGGGGAUCGAAGACGAUCAGAUACCGUCGUAGUCUUAACCAUAAACUAUGCCGACUAGGGAUCGGAUGAUGUUAAUUUUUUAAUGACUCAUUCGGCGCCUUACGGGAAACCAAAGUGUUUGGGUUC
rnacentral:rRNA from 1 species